GUGCUUGCUCGGCAGCACAUAUGCUAAACUGGAAUGUUACACAGAAGAUUAGCAUGGCCCUUGGGCAAGGAUGACACUCAAAUUCGUGAAGAGUUCCAUUAAAAA